rnacentral:rRNA from 1 species
GACGAACGCUGGCGGCACGCCUAACACAUGCAAGUCGAACGAAGUAAAGAGCUUGCUCUUUGCUUAGUGGCGGACGGGUGAGUAACACGUGAGCAACCUGCCUUACAGAGGGGGAUAACGUCUGGAAACGGACGCUAAUACCGCAUGAAACAUUGAGAUCACAUGGUUUUAAUGUCAAAGGAGCAAUCCGCUGUAAGAUGGGCUCGCGUCCGAUUAGAUAGUUGGUGAGGUAACGGCCCACCAAGUCAGCGAUCGGUAGCCGGACUGAGAGGUUGAACGGCCACAUUGGGACUGAGACACGGCCCAGACUCCUACGGGAGGCAGCAGUGGGGGAUAUUGGUCAAUGGGGGAAACCCUGAACCAGCGAUGCCGCGUGAGGGAAGAAGGUCUUCGGAUUGUAAACCUUUGUCUUCAGGGACGAACAAAUGACGGUACCUGAGGAGGAAGCUCCGGCUAACUACGUG